AGUGAACGCUGGCGGCGUGCUUAACACAUGCAAGUCGAACGAGAACGGAAUAUAGCUUGCUAUAUUUGUCAGCUAAGUGGCGCACGGGUGAGUAAUGUAUAGAUAACCUGCCCUUAAGAAAGGGAUAACAGUUGGAAACGACUGCUAAUGCCCUAUAUGCCUUUAAUACAUAAGUAUGCAAGGGAAACGCUUUAGUGCUUAAGGAUGGGUCUGUAUGGUAUCAGCUUGUUGGUGAGGUAAUGGCUCACCAAGGCUAUGACGCCUAACUGGUUUGAGAGGAUGAUCAGUCACACUGGAACUGAGACACGGUCCAGACUCCUACGGGAGGCAGCAGUGGGGAAUAUUGCACAAUGGACGAAAGUCUGAUGCAGCAACGCCGCGUGGAGGAUGACACAUUUCGGUGCGUAAACUCCUUUUAUAUAGGAAGAUAAUGACGGUACUAUAUGAAUAAGCACCGGCUAACUCCGUGCCAGCCGCCGCGGUAAAAC
rnacentral:rRNA from 1 species